GUGUGUAUUUUUCACUGUAUUUUUACUCCUCUUAUUUUAAUACUUCUUUUCAGUCAUAAAAUUUAAACAAAUUAAUAGGAAUACUAAAUGCAUAGAUGAUUGACUGUCGCCAAAUAGAUACAUAAAUAAAUGAAUACAUAAAGAAAAUUGUAAAUAUAUUAAAAUUUUACUAUCAGAGGUCAAUCAGUUUAAUUGAAGUCUGGAGCUGGCAUGUCAGUUAACUGCUAGUAGCCUGUUGUUAUUUAUGUAUUAUUGUCAUUUUAUUUAUUUUCUUUUGUUACAUCUUCUGACAUCGGACUCGGACUUCUCUUGAACUGAAUUUUAAUUUGCGUAUUGUUAUGCGUUUACUUUUCUACAUUGGCUAGAGGUGUAGGGGGAGGGUUGAAAUCUCAUAAAUAUGUUUAACCCCGCCGCAAUUUUGCGCCUGUUCCAAGUCAGUUAGUCUUGUAUGACUUUUAAUUCUAGUUUCUUGUGUAUAAUUCGGUGUUUAGUAUGACGUCCAUUAUCACUGUAAUAGUAUACAUAUUUUUAAGAGGCCAGCUGAAGGAAGCUUACGGGUGCAGGAGUUUCUCGCUACAUUGAAGACCCAUUGUUGGCCUUCGGCUGUUGUCUGCUCUAUUGUUAGGUUGUUGUCGCUUUGACACAUUCCCCAUUUCCUUUCUCAAUUUAUAAUGUGUUAUUUACCAACAAACAAUUUGAGAAACCUUUAUAAAACUCUUCAAAUUUGUAAAAAGAUCAAUUAGAAUUAAGAAAGAAGGGUAUGUAAAUUAUGUAGACUUGAUAAAAAAAGUUACCAAAUUA
rnacentral:lncRNA from 1 species